GUCCUAGCCGUAAACGAUGGACACUGAGUGAAGGGGGCUUGCCUCUCUUUGCUGCAGCUAACGCGUUAAGUGUCCCGCCUGGGGAGUACGACCGCAAGGUUAAAACUCAAAGGAAUUGACGGGGCUCGCACAAGCGGUGGAGCAUGUGGUUCAAUUCGAUGCAACGCGAAGAACCUUACCCGGGCUUGAAGUGGAGGUGGUAGGAGCCGGAAACGGUGACGACCCCGCAAGGGGAGCCUUCAUCAGGUGUUGCAUGGCUGUCGU
rnacentral:rRNA from 1 species